UAUAUCUCGAAGAUUGUUUUUUAAAUAGAAACUAAUAUAUUCUAUAAUAAAUGAAAGUUAUAGAAAGAUUCCACAAUUUACCCUAAAAUGGAAUUAUAUAGAAUAUGAACAAGAUAAAUUAUAAAGUAUAUAUUGAUAUUACACAACUUUUAAAAGUUUCAUUGUCAAGAAUCAUUAUAAUUCGUUUAAAAUGAUUUUUAUCGGAUAUGGAUAUUGGUAUUGAUAUUGAAGGGAGGCGCUCGUGGGCGUCCAAGCAUUUAGGCCACCAGACCGCUCUAGAGAAUGUCCAAAAUGCCACCCUUUCUAUAGAAGUAAAUAUGAAACUCCAAAAUUAAUACAAACAAGGAACUAUCAUCAUGAAAAAUCGUUACAUUUCAACUGAGAUGGUUUGAAUCAAAGAUAAAUAAAUGUGUCUCAUAAAGUUAUAUUAAUUAAAAAUUGUUAUCUAAUGUAAUGAAAUUUAGUUAUUUUUACUUUAAAUCACCAUCCAAAUUAUUAGAAAUUAUGAUAGACCCAACUACAGUCAAAUGAUGUUGUAGGAUUAUUUGAUGCGGUUUUACAAUGCCCAUCCGAGUUUCAAACUAUGGUAAACGCGAACACAGUUAAACGUAGAAAAUGUCAAAAUGGGUACGUGUCGACGAAUUUUUAAAUUAUGGCAUGUCGUCGUCAAUUGCGUGAAAAAAUGCGUCACUGGGAUUUAUUUCCAAGAGAAACAAAUACAUUUUACAAAUUAAAGGUGGACAAUAAGUCACUACCGACAACUUAGUUAUGAAGAAUAUCAUUCAUCAAUUAUAAAAAAAAGAGAGACAAUUUUAUUAAAUAAACGAUCAUUGAAACUUUGUAAGUAUUCGUCGAGUCAUCCAAGAAAAUACUUCAUUUAGACAUAAAUUUCAAUUUAACAAGUAAGUUUUUUAUAUUCGUUUUAUGUAACAUAAUAAGUUUUUCGAGUUUAACACAAGAAAUGUAAAACAUAAGUCUACACAAUCUGUCAAACAAAUUCGGUAUUGUUUACAGAUUCCUUUUUAUUUCUUUUAAGAACAUAAAGUGACGACAAGAAAUGAAAUAAAAGAAAACUAUAAAGAAUAAAAUAUCGUUUAUGUAAAAAAUAAUAAUUCAAAAAUAUUUAUUACUACAUAAAUUACUUCCCUUCCUAAAGUAUUAUAAUUAAGGAAAAAGUAAAAGAAAAAUAGAUAUUUUUGCAUAAUGAUGUUUAAACAUCUUAACGAAAUUACCAAAAAACUACAAUAAUUUUCUAAUAUUUCAUCGCAUGUAAUUGCCUAAUAAUAUCAUACAUAAUAUCACAUAAUUGCCUAAUUCGUGAAAUUACCAAUAUGACAUAUUUUAAUUCUAACGUGAAAUUUGUGAAGUCAUUGACAGUUGCGACGUUAUCCAAUACGGUUCUGCAGUGCCCAUCCGAAUUUGAAUCUAUGGUAGAUACAACCACAUUCGAACACGAAGAAGAGACGUAGAAGACACCGAGAUGAUUCUGUGGUGGAGCAUUGCACGCGGCGGUUUAACCUCCGUUCGCUCCUUGUUCACUUGACGAAAAGCGAAAAUUAAAUUUUGAGCGUCCUCAAUAGUUCGCGUAAAAUUCAUUGCGAAAGCCUACCUGUUUCUUGUUGGCCGAUGUACCAGGCUACCUGGCCUUGCAUUGCUUCCAGUUUUUCUUUCAUAUCAUCACAAUUUAUAAAACAGGUGAAUACGCGUUUUUUGGUUGUCAUUUUAGUAGUAAUGACGGGUGUCGUAUCUCACAAGAUGCACUGUAGGAUGGGUACACUUUGGACACACGUCAAGGAGUUUUACUUUGCUUAUCCAAUACGGUUGUAGCUGAUAUUUGUAUUUGCGCGCGUAAUUAUACUUUGAACACACGAUUUUUUUGGAGUAGACGAAAUAAUUUCUCGGCGGUGUGACGUUCAUUAUUAAACUGAAAUGUUAUUGCGUGUUCCGGAUGUUUUAUUAAUAGCAUUAUCAACGGAUAUUCUUAUCUUAUUUACGCCUCCCUGCCGGUGACGUUUGCGUCACUUGGUUGGCACCACGGACGACGGUUGGCACCACGGACCACGGUUAGGUUGGCACCACGGUUUGGUUAAUUUGGCACCACUGACAACGAUCGGGGUCUACGCCCCCGCGCGGGCGGGGGGCCACCGAACGGCACGCGGGCGAACGGCGCGCGCGACAUCUAGCAGCAACGGGACGGAACCGACGGUACAUAAUUAGCUCGGCAUUAAAGUGACCGUUCAACGACGGACGGGUUUUCACGGCAGCCCCCCCGAGAUGGCGGGGGUCCCCGAACGGCACGCGGGCGAACGGACAAAGACAACGGUUUGGUUGGCACCACGGACUACGGUUGGCACCACUGACGACGGUUUGGUAAGGUUUGGGCGAGUGACCUAUGGCGAACGGCCAGAACACAAAAAGAAGAAGACCAUGGCCGAGUGGUCCAUGGGCUGGUGGCCAAUGGGUCCAGGGUAAAAGAAGAAGACCCGUGGGCGGAGGGGCCGUGGCAGGGAAGCCAAAAAGUGAGGUUAUGUGGGCCUGGAUGUCCCUUUAUUCAUCUACAUGCAAGGCCAGGUAGGCAAUGGUAAUCGCGCAUAAAGUCGAGAUACAUAGAAUAGAGCUCUGGGUUUCGAGAAAGACGCUUUUCCAGCGACAACAAGCUAAGAUUCUGGGUGUUUAAAGGGUAGGGAUGCGAUAAAUCUACCACUCUUGUUCCUGCGGGUCGUAUUUGCGAAAAUAGUCUCACACCUUUCGUCCUCCGGGGAAGCGGGAUGCUUAGUCGUUUCUAAAGCAGAUGGAUGACCGGACGCACCUGGGAUGCGUCCAGCGAGUAGGAUUUGACCAGUUAAUCGCCAAUUACAAGAUCUACAACACCGGGAAUAUGGUAAUUGCGGUCUCUCAGUACAUAGCUGUGGUACGACAAUGGCAUCGAACGAAAGUAGAGGAGUUGCUUGAUUUUGUGAUUUAAUGGUGCAUCGAGUUAAUCCUUUUGAAGUUUGACUGGUCAUGCCUUUUAGGCCGUGAAUGGGCACAGUGUAAAGCUUCAACCUGCGUAAACAUGUCGUAGUGCGACGACACCCCCAAAGCCUCACAAAAAAAAAAGAAAAAGCGAAGAAACGGUUCAGCAGCAGCAGCAGCAGCAGCAUACCGGCUCAUCCUCCUCCUCCUCCGGUUGGUUCGAUACGUUUAUCGACGACGAAGAAAGAAAGGUGG